rnacentral:tRNA from 1 species
GUUCUUAUAGUUUAUAGAAGAAAAAAAUAUUACACUGAAAAUGUAAAGAAAUAAUUUUUAAGAAUA